rnacentral:rRNA from 1 species
UACGGGGGGAGCAAGCGUUGUUCGGAUUUACUGGGCGUAAAGGGCGCGUAGGCGGUCAGCACAAGUCAGUUGUGAAAUCUCCGGGCUUAACUCGGAAAGGUCAACUGAUACUGUGCGACUAGAGUGCGGAAGGGGCAACUGGAAUUCUCGGUGUAGCGGUGAAAUGCGUAGAUAUCGAGAGGAACACCUGCGGCGAAGGCGGGUUGCUGGGCCGACACUGACACUGAGAGACGAAAGCUAGGGGAGCGAAUGGA